CAGUCGCCGCGGGAACACGAAGGGGGCUAGCGUUGCUCGGAAUGACUGGGCGUAAAGGGCGCGUAGGCGGCGAUCAAAGUCAGGCGUGAAAUUCCUGGGCUCAACCUGGGGGCUGCGCUUGAUACUUGGUUGCUUGAGUGGGGAAGAGGGUCGUGGAAUUCCCAGUGUAGAGGUGAAAUUCGUAGAUAUUGGGAAGAACACCGGUGGCGAAGGCGGCGACCUGGUCCUUGACUGACGCUGAGGCGCGAAAGCGUGGGGAGCAAACAGGAUUAGAUACCCCAGUAGUCCCUGUCUCUUAUAU
rnacentral:rRNA from 1 species